GGGCGCAUAGCUCAGCGGUAGAGCGCUUGCCUUACAAGCAAGAUGUCGCAGGUUCGAUCCCUGCUGCGCCCA
rnacentral:tRNA from 2 species